ensembl:lncRNA
UAAUAUAUGCAAGUUGCCAAUGAGAUAUUUCUUUCAUACUGCUCAUAAGCCUUGAAUUUUAAGACAGUAUCCUUUCUCAAAAGUUUGGGGCCAGUAAGAUUUUUAAAUGUUUUUUUUUUUUUUUUUGUAUAAGAGUUUAUUGUGUUCACCAAGGCUGCAUGUAUUUGAUCAAAAAUACAGGAAAAUAUUGUAAACAUAUCAUUAGAAAUAAUCAUUUUAAAUAACUGUUUUCUGUCUUAUUCUUUCAUAUUUUAAAGUGUAAUUUAUUCCUGUGAUGACAAAAAUGAAUUUUUAGCAGCCAUUACUGAAAUCCUUCAAAAACCAUUCUAAUAUGCUGAAUUAUUAUUAUUAUAAUUAAUAUUAUUUGCUGAAGUAACAUUUCCUAUUAUUAUUAUCCACAUGGAAAACAGUUGUUCUGCUUAAUCUUUGUGUGGAAUUCAUGAUACAUUUUCCCUAGGAUUUUUAGAUGAAUAGAGAGUUCAAAAGAACAUAAUUUACUUGAAAUAAAAAUCUUUUAUAACAUUAUAAAUAUCUAUACAGUGUAAUUAUUAAUCGAUUUAAUGCAUCAAUGCAAAAUAGAAGUGUUAAUUUCUUACUAAUCCCAAACUUUUAUGCACAGUUUAUCAUAUAAACUACUUUAUAUGCAAUCAAUUAUUACAAUAAUCUGUGAGAUAAUUUGUCAAAAAAUCAAUAUAUUCUUUUAAACGCAGUAUACCUUCCACUGAAGGGAAAUGGCUGUCCACAAGGUGGCGCUACUUAGUUAAUGUACUUAGGCUGAAACAGGGAAUUGUUUUGUUUUAGUGACGGUGGAAAUCCGAGAUGGCUCGCUGGUGUUUUCCUUGCAUCUGCCAGUGAUUUGUCUGCCUGCACUGACAUUCCGAGAGGUCCCACCUGUUACAUUAGAAAAUGCCCCCUCUAUCAAAGCAGUAAUGCCUCACCAUUUAAGCUGGCUCUUGUCAGACAGGCUUUUAUGAUACUGUAUGAAAUUAGACUCAAACAUUAAAACAUAUGUACCGCACAACUAGAUUUCACCUGACUUUAUCCAAAUUAACAAAGCAUACGGUUAAAGAGUUUUCAACCCUAACCUUUUAUGACUUGUGUGUGUGGC